CCUACGGGUGGCUGCAGUGGGGAAUAUUGGACAAUGGGCGAAAGCCUGAUCCAGCCAUGCCGCGUGUGUGAAGAAGGCCUUCGGGUUGUAAAGCACUUUCAGUGGGGAAGAAAGCCUUGGGGCUAAUACCCUCGAGGAAGGACAUCACCCACAGAAGAAGCACCGGCUAACUCCGUGCCAGCAGCCGCGGUAAUACGGAGGGUGCGAGCGUUAAUCGGAAUUACUGGGCGUAAAGCGCGCGUAGGCGGUCUGAUAAGCCGGUUGUGAAAGCCCCGGGCUCAACCUGGGAACGGCAUCCGGAACUGUCAGGCUAGAGUGCAGGAGAGGAAGGUAGAAUUCCCGGUGUAGCGGUGAAAUGCGUAGAGAUCGGGAGGAAUACCAGUGGCGAAGGCGGCCUUCUGGACUGACACUGACGCUGAGGUGCGAAAGCGUGGGUAGCAAACAGGAUUAGAUACCCUGGUAGC
rnacentral:rRNA from 1 species